rnacentral:lncRNA from 1 species
AUGGAUCCAUUGUUAAUCAUAGCAUACAACCUCUAGAGCUAACUCCAACGAGAGAGGAAGGCUUGAUAGUUGGGGACCAAUGGCCUAAGCCAAGUCUAAAGCCAUCAUUACCAACGAUAGUAGGAAAUAGAAAAAAACAAAGCAUCUGCUUUCUUGAUCAAAUCUGGUAACUCAUCGAUCGAGAACUAAUAUCUUAGGGCUGAAUAAGAUGGAAAGAAAAAUUAAUUAGAAGAGUAGGGACUUUUUACCUCAUGUUGGCAAUGAUUUAGUAGGCUUUUUCAACGAAUACACAGAUAGGGACAGACUAUGUUUGAGAUGAAAAUAAGAUAGUAAGAAGAUGGGAUUGAUCAUCGCUGAGGACCAA